UGCUGAUCUCCGCAAUGUGGAAGCUAUUGCAUUUUCUCUAAGGAAAGAACUCUUGCAAAUUAAAGGAAUUAGUGAGGCAAAAGCUGACAAAAUUAUUGGAGCUGGCUCGCCGAGGUACAAUGGAUGAGCCAUUUGCAUGGGACAGCAGAGAGAUUUUGAGAAAAUUUUGCAUAGGAAAGGUAUUUUUGAAUCAGGUUAAGGAGCAGGGUCCACAAAUAGGCGAAGCAAGCCCAGCUUUAGCAGAACUGCUGCAUUUGGAAGAGCAAGCUAAGCAACAAGGGCUAGGUCGCUGGAGUAUUGUUUCUUUUCUUUUCUCUGUGUUAGUUGUGUCUUUUCAAGAUUUUUUUAUUGUUUUAAAUUCUUUUUCACCUUACUUUUACUCUUUUGUAUAAACUAUUGGAGUUUGAUUUCCAUGGACAAUUAUGGCCUUGCUUGCUUGCCACACCAUUUAUCUGAACAUAGUGAAUGGAUUACCUUCACUCAAGUGAUUUGGCUGACAUUAAGAUCACGCUCUGCAACAUUUAUCUGAGAGUAUAAAUUACCUUCACCCAAGGAUCUUGUUAGCCUAGAAGUUGCUUCUAAGAUUCAGUUAAAAGCUUUAGCAUAAGAAAUGCAGGCCAAAAUCAAAGGGCUUGACAAAGUCGAAUAGGAAUUGAUGACAUCGAAAAAUGAUGGUCCUAUAUCAGAGACCUUUCGUAAGGUAAGUGGGCAUAAAAAUAGCUCUAAUGUACUCGGUGAAUCUGCACUGUUGCAUAUUCUGUUGGAUGGAAAUCCUGGAAAUGAAACAGAUAUGU